ACUGCUGCUAAUCUAUCGCCGCUGCUAAGCUAUCCCUCGCUGCUAAGCUAUCGCCGCUGCCAACCUAUCUAUUGCUGCAAGCUAUCCCUCGCUGCUAAGCUAUCGCUGCCAACCUCUCUAUUGCUGCAAGCUAUCCCUCGCUGCUAAGCUAUCGCUGCCAACCUAUCUAUCGCUGCCAACCUAUCUAUCGCUGCCAACCUAUCUAUCGCUGCCAAUUUAUCUACCACUGCCAAUCUAUCUAUUGCUGCUAAUCUAUCGCUGCUGCCAAUCUAUCCCUCACUGCUAAGCUAUCCCUCGCUGCUAAGCUAUCACUGCCAAUCUAUCGCUGCUAAUCUAUCGCUGCCAACCUAUCUACCGCGGCGAAUCUAUCUAUCGCUGCUAAUCUAUCGCUGCUGCCAAUCUAUCUUUCGCUGCUAAUCUAUCGCCGCUACCAAUCUAUCCCUCGCUGCUAAGCUAUCCCUCGCUGCUAAGCUAUCCCUCACUGCUAAGCUAUCUCUCGCUGCUAAGCUAUCCCUCACUACUAAGCUAUCUAUCACUGCUAAUCUAUCGCUGCCAACCUAUCUAUCACUGCCAAUCUAUCUAUCGCUGCUAAUCUAUCACUGCUAAUCUAUCGCUGCUAAUCUAUCGCUGCCAACCUAUCUACCGCGGCGAAUCUAUCUAUCACUAUCAUUACUAGUUCAAAAUAGAACUAGAGCAUAAAUACACUAAACUUCUUUUGAUAGAUAAUGAUUUUUGGUAAUGCUCAUAGCAUUAUAUCAUCUAUAUAGGGUAAAUCAUGGUCCCAUUUGGUCCCAUUUUAACAAAAUGGGACCAAAUGGGACCAGAAUCAGUAAUUUAUAAGAAGAACAUGACCUGGGACU
rnacentral:sRNA from 1 species